rnacentral:rRNA from 1 species
UACGUAGGGUGCGAGCGUUAAUCGGAAUUACUGGGCGUAAAGCGUGCGCAGGCGGUGAGCUGUGUCCGAUGUGAAAGCCCCGGGCUUAACCUGGGAAUGGCAUUGGAAACUGGCUCGCUGGAGUGUGGCAGAGGGGGGUGGAAUUCCGCGUGUAGCAGUGAAAUGCGUAGAUAUGUGGAGGAACACCGAUGGCGAAGGCAGCCCCCUGGGUCAAGACUGACGCUCAUGCACGAAAGCGUGGGGAGCGAACAGG